UCAACAAUUUGGGGAAAUACCUCAGUAAUCAACAGCUCUAUGGUGAUAUAUUUGGGAGGCUGGCAUGAAAAGGGGUUAAAUAGGCUCUCAUUUCAGGGUGAAAAUUGGAUCUGCAAGGACUAUAAGAUGUGGCCACAGAUCACAGUGCCGUACACCCAGCUAAUUGCCAAGAGCUCACCUGUUUGAUGAUGCUUUGCCUACAUGCAAUGGUGCACCCUUUCACUUUGGAGGUACUUUUGGUGAAGACAGAAGAGCAGAUACAGCAUGGAAUGGACAAGGGACAGACCCUAACUGCUGCUUCCCACCAUACAGCUUACAGACUAUGCCUUGGAUGCCAUCCUAGAACUAACAGCAACCCUGGGAAACUCCAUGGACUUCAACGGGUGGAGAAAACUCUCUGCAACUUGGCUUGUUCCAGAGUCAGGGGAUUGAAGAUGAAAGGUGAAAAGACCCCAGAUUAGCUUCAGUAGGCCUUCUGUAUCGAGAUUUAAGAAGAAGAAACUGCACUAUCAACAUACAAGGAGGAAUUUUUACCUGUGAUUUAUAUUGAGCAUAUCUGUUAAUGAGCUUCAGGUGGAACAGACUCUGCUAAGAUCCGUUUUUGUCUUGGUUAUGGCCCCAUGAGGACUACGUACACAUCUCGUGAGUGGAUUAAUCUUUAAAUCAUUACUUUUUGUAAGCAGAGCCUGUGAUUUGAAUGACUAACUGCUGGGCUCAUUUUCUACUUGGGAAAUAAGGUUUGCAGAGCCAUGACCAAAUUUUGAGUUUUGGGUCACUAUUCCCAUUGACUACAGUGAGAGCUGUGGGCACUAUGCAUGGUUUUGAGGAGCUUUUGCAUCAUAAGGGAGCAGAUCCUUCUGGUUACUGUACUGGAGUAAGUCACCCCUCCAGCAAUUCUCUUUUGGCAUGGCAGGCUCUAGCCAAUCACACAUGGUUUGUAUGGUGACCUCCAAUUAAGUGUACUAUAUCGUGAGAGUGCUAACGUUUGUUGCACUUUUACCAAACAAAAAUACCCCUUGUACUUGACUAUUUAAUGCUAUAGAUAUAUAUGUUUUGAGAAAUGUCCUGUUCUAGUAGUUUGAAGGCCUGGUCCUCCAUGGCAAUAUCUGUGGGAAGAUUUCCAAGUCUCUGUAGGAUCUUGUUGACUCAGUGGUCUCUUGGCACAACAUGCAUCUCUCUGA